rnacentral:rRNA from 1 species
AUGGCGUUGUCGAAGAGGCUCGCGGCGACGGCGCUGCUGGUGCUGCUCGCGCUGGCGGCGUCCGCGUCCGCCAAGACGACGCGGGAAGCAGCUGAGGCGGCCACGGCCAAGACGACGCCGGGCGGCGCGGAGGUGGCGCCGGGCAAGGAGGAAGAGUCGUGGACGGGGUGGGCCAAGGACAAGAUCUCCGAGGGCCUCGGCCUCGACAAGAUCUCCGAGGGGCUCAAGCUCAAGCACCACGCCGACGAGGAGGAGGCCGCGCGCAAGGCCGGGCACACCGUCAAGUCCGCCCGCGAGACCGUCCAGCACACCGCCUCCGAGACGGGGAGGCAGGCGAGCAGCAAGGCUUCGGACGCCAAGGAGGCGGCGGAGCAGGCGGCGACCGGGGCGGCCAACAAGGCGGGGCAGGCCAAGGACAAGACGGCGGAGACGGUGAAGGGCACGGCCGGCCAGGCGUCCAAGAAGGCGGAGCAGGCUAAGCACAAGACUAAGGAGACCGCGGAGGCGGCCGCCAAGACGGGCGCCGAGACGCACGAGCGGUCGAAGCAGGGCAAGGCCAAGGUGGAGGAGACGGCCAAGGAGAAGGCCGGACAGGGGUACGAGACGCUGAAGCAAACAAAGGACGCGGCCGCCGAGAAGGCCGGCGCCGCCAAGGACACGGCUGCGGAGAAGGCAGCAGCAGCCAAGGACACCGCGGCGGAGAAAGCAGGCGGCGCCACGCAGACGGCAGCGCAGAAGGCAGCAGCAGCCAAGGACGCCGCCGCGGAGAAGGCCGGAGACGCCACGCAGACGGCCGCGGAGAAGGCAGACGGCAGCGGAGAAGGCAGCGGCAGCGAAGGACGCCGCCGCGGAGAAGGCCGGGGCCGCCAAGCAGACAGCCGCGGAGAAGGCGGCCAAGGACACGGCCUGGGAGACAGCGGAGGCGGCCAAGGGGAAGGCCAACCAGGGGUACGAGAAGGUAAAGGAGAAGGUCGGGGAGGUGAAGGACAAAGUGACCGGCGCGGCAGCCGACGGCAAGGCGAAGAAGCACCGCAAGGACGACGAGCUGUGAAUGAGCACCAUCGUUCCGCAUUUCUUGCCAUGGCUCUUCUUCCAUGA